UACGUAGGGUGCGAGCGUUGUCCGGGAUUACUGGGCGUAAAGAGCUCGUAGGCGGUUUGUCGCGUCUGCCGUGAAAGUCCGGGGCUCAACCCUGGAACGCCGGUGGAUACUGUCGGGCUAGAGUCCGGAAGAGGCGAGUGGAAUUCCUGGUGUAGCGGUGGAAUGCGCAGAUAUCAGGAGGAACACCGGUGGCGAAGGCGGGUCUCUGGGCCGAAAUUGACGCUGAGGAGCGAAAGCGUGGGGAGCAAACAGG
rnacentral:rRNA from 1 species